rnacentral:rRNA from 1 species
CAUCAUCGGCAACAUGGAGGCGAGUCAUUGGCGAGUUGCGUCACCGGUGACGAACAUGGAGGCGAGUCACCGGCGAGUUGCGGCACCGGUGGCAAAUAUGGAGGCGAGUCACUGACGAAUUGCGGCACCAGUGGCAAACAUGCGGCAGCGAGGGUGCCACGGCGGCGCGCUCAUGGUGAAGAAGCACGAGGUGCGGCUCUCGGUGAAGCCAGUGCGACGGCGGCAAUCGGCGUGACAAGAUGGCAUUGGCGGCCGUCUCCGUGUUGCACCGACGACAUCGACGACCACGGGCUUCAAAAGAAAAAUAAGUUAACAAGAUUAGGGAGGUGA